ACCGGAGGAAGGUGGGGAUGACGUCAAGUCCUCAUGGCCCUUAUAGGUGGGGCUACACACGUCAUACAAUGGCUGGUACAAAGGGUUGCCAACCCGCGAGGGGGAGCUAAUCCCAUAAAACCAGUCGUAGUCCGGAUCGCAGUCUGCAACUCGACUGCGUGAAGUCGGAAUCGCUAGUAAUCGUGGAUCAGAAUGUCACGGUGAAUACGUUCCCGGGUCUUGUACACACCGCCCGUCACACCAUGGGAGCGGGUUCUGCCAGAAGUAGUUAGCCUAACCGCAAGGAGGGCGAUUACCACGGCAGGGUUCGUGACUGGGGUGAAGUCGUAACAAGGUAGCCGUAUCGGAAGGUGCGGCUGGAUCACCUCCUUU
rnacentral:ncRNA from 1 species